AUGUACAUAGUUUAACGGUAGAACUGCCCAUUUCUGAUGAGUCUGCGCGGGUUCGAAUCCUGCUGCUCGUA